CAGCCAUGCCGCGUGAGUGAUGAAGGCCCUAGGGUCGUAAAGCUUCGCCUGUGAAGAUAAUGACGGUAGCAGGUAAAGAAACCCCGGCUAACUCCGUGCCAGCAGCCGCGGUAAUACGGAGGGGGUUAGCGUUGUUCGGAAUUACUGGGCGUAAAGCGCACGUAGGCGGAUCGGAAAGUUGGGGGUGAAAUCCCGGGGCUCAACCCCGGAACUGCCUCCAAAACUAUCGGUCUAGAGUUCGAGAGAGGUGAGUGGAAUUCCGAGUGUAGAGGUGAAAUUCGUAGAUAUUCGGAGGAACACCAGUGGCGAAGGCGGCUCACUGGCUCGAUACUGACGCUGAGGUGCGAAAGUGUGGGGAGCAAACAGGAUUAGAUACCCUGGUAGUCCACACCGUAAACGAUGAAUGCCGUCUCGGGUAGCAUGCUAUUCGGUGACACACCUAACGGAUAAGCAUUCCGCCUGGG
rnacentral:rRNA from 2 species